rnacentral:lncRNA from 13 species
CCACAAAAACAUUUUAUCAGUCCCUGGAUGGCUAUCUACUGAAGACCGUGGAAGAAUUUUAGGACUUAGAACACAGAUCUAAAAAGUUGGAGCGUCAGAAAUUGGAAGUACCUUCGUGAAUUAUUACAUAUAGGUAUCAUCAUAUUGUGGGAUUAGGUGGUGUUAAAGUACGGGAUUUUAUUUACACCGCAAUCAAACAAAUCAUGACUGAUGAAUUAGUGAAUAAAUUCUCUUGGCUUGGAGACGAAAACCACGAAAAAUUACAAGAUACAAAGAUAAUGAACCUAAGAUAUCAUGCAGCUAAAAAAUGUACCCAUUUUGAAGAAUCAUCUGAUAAAAAAGCGUACAAAAAGAAUUCUUACAAGUAUUACGGGCAAUAAAACAAAGAUAUCGGAGAGUAAGAAUAAACGUGAACGAAGAUAACGAAGACGAGGAAGAAAAUUCCGACAUUUCCAAUACUUUAAACGAAUCCACAGAUUAUAAUAUAGAUUGAAAUUUUAAAAUUGAAAUUUACUAUUAACAUUUAUUUUAUAACCUACAUUUAGUUUUCAUACAUAAAAAGAAUUCUUUGUUGCAUUUAAAAAAAUUAUUUUUCAUUAAUAAA